CCCUUAGAUGUUCUGGGCCGCACGCGCGCUACACUGAUGCAUUCAACGAGUCUAAAACCUGGUCUGAUAGGGCUGGGUAAUCUUUUGAAUGUGCAUCGUGAUUGGGAUAGAUGAUUGCAAUUCUUCAUCUUCAACGAGGAAUGCCUAGUAAACGCAAGUCAUCAGCUUGCAUUGAUUACGUCCCUGCCCUUUGUACACACCGCCUGUCGCUCCUACCGAUUGAAUGUUCCGAUGAAUACCAUGGACUGAGAGUAUGAAUGGGUUCGCCUAUUUCUGCUUCUCGGGAAGUGGAGUAAAUCUUAACAUUUAGAGGAAGGAGAAGUCGUAACA
rnacentral:rRNA from 1 species